GCCCGUCAAACUAUGAGAGCUGGUAAUAUCUAAAACCGUGUUGCUAACCCGCAAGGAAGCGCAUGUCUAGGGUAGGGCCGGUGAUUGGAGUUAAGUCGUAACAAGGUACCCCUACGAGAACGUGGGGGUGGAUUACCUCCUUU
rnacentral:rRNA from 1 species